GGACAUUGUUAUAUUGACAUGCAUCUUUCUACUACUUAAAUAGCUACCCUUGUUGGAGUAUCAUAUGUAGUCUUGUGGACUAAACACUGCAGUGUUUGCUUGUUCGCUGACUUACCGGGAGUUUGAAUAAGGGUUCACAUCAAUUUCAUCAGACUAGUCCGAGAUGUUGCUUGACACAGUGGUUGGAGGACGCAUAUGGGAGGCCUCCAGCUAACUAGCUAGCUAGUAGAUGCUUCAUCACAGAACUAGAAGUGAGGAGGAGAGCGCGGACACCCCGGUCAUAAAGCACUAUUGGGAGCAGGCCUAUUUAUAGCUGACUACCGCCACCACCACCACCCUGCAGCCUGAAAGUCACACCAGGAGAUUUUGGGAGUGAAGUCCUUGAGCUACUCUGUCAAUGCGAAGCAUUGCAGUGACAAGUUUGCAGAUGAGUGCAGAGAGAGACCUGCGAGGGUGGCUGGGAGACAAGACGGGGGUCGUUGGAACUCAUCAUGGUGGUGAGUGAUCAUCUGUGCCCUCCAAGGGUUGGGCUGUCCUGCUGCCUGCGCUCAUCUGUCCAUUCAACCAGUUAGUUUCAGCACUCGUAUAACCCA